rnacentral:misc_RNA from 1 species
AACGCACCUUGCGCUCCUUGGUAUUCCGAGGAGCAUGCCUGUUUGAGUGUCAUUAAUAUAUCAACCUCUUCAAGUUUUUGCUUGUUAGAGUGUUGGAUGUGGGGGUAUUCUUUGUUGGCUUCUAUGAAGUCAGCUCCCCUCAAAUGUAUUAGCAGAAUAAUUUGUUGAUCCUGUUCAUUGGUGUGAUAAUUAUCUACGCUAUUGACGGGGAAAGCAGUUCAGCUUCUAAUAGUCCAUUGACUUGGACAAAUUUUUCAUUAAUGUGACCUCAAAUCAGGUAGGACUACCCGCUGAACUUAA